GAUGAACGCUGGCGGCGUGCUUAACACAUGCGAGUCGAACGGAAAGGCCGAAGCUUGCUUCGGUACUCGAGUGGCGAACGGGUGAGUAACACGUGGGUGAUCUGCCCUGUACUUCGGGAUAGGCUUGGGAAACUGGGUCUAAUACCGGAUAUGACGAUCUCUUGGAUGGGGUUGUGGAAAGCUUUUGCGGUAUGGGAUGAGCUCGCGGCCUAUCAGCUUGUUGGUGGGGUAAUGGCCUACCAAGGCGUCGACGGGUAGCCGGCCUGAGAGGGUGUACGGCCACAUUGGGACUGAGAUACGGCCCAGACUCCUACGGGAGGCAGCAGUGGGGAAUAUUGCACAAUGGGCGCAAGCCUGAUGCAGCGACGCCGCGUGGGGGAUGACGGCCUUCGGGUUGUAAACUCCUUUCGCAAUCGACGAAGCCUUUUGGUGACGGUAGGUUGAGAAGAAGCACCGGCUAACUACGUG
rnacentral:rRNA from 1 species